AUGCCAGCAUUUGCCCAGGACCUCAUCCAAGACAAAGCCUACCACUAUCACAGGGCGGAGGAAGUGCACAAGGUCUUGGGUUCAUGCCAGAAUCAGAGUAAGGGAGCCUAUUUUCAACCGAGGAUCUUCCUCUGGCCUCUGAAGUCUGACCUAGACGAGCUGGAGAGCCCCAGGCAGAACUGUCUGCAGACCUCACCUCAGCUACCCCAGACAGUGGCCCCAGAGUGCAGGACACAGCUUGAAGGGACUUGUGUUGGCCAGAAGUGUCUGUUCUACAUGGACUUCCAGGGACAGCUAUAUGGAUGGAGAUAUCUCAUCUUGGCACUAUCAGAAAGAACAAAAAAAGAGGAAGGAAGACCAGUAAAGGAAAAGAUAUUGUCAGAAGAAUGGGAGUGGAAACGUUGGAUAAAGCACUAUCUCACACUGGAAAGGCUCAGAAGGAAGACACAAACCUCUAGGACCAGAGUGGGUGGAAUGAGAGAGAUAGAUGGUUUUAGAAAAGAUAACUAA
rnacentral:lncRNA from 1 species